rnacentral:tRNA from 1 species
AUUUUAGUAGUUUAAUUUAAAACUUUGAUUUUGUAAUUCAAUAAUGUAGAUUCUUUUACUUAAAAUC